rnacentral:tRNA from 1 species
GCCCUCGUGGUGUAGUGGUCAGCACGCUCGACGCGUAACCGAGAGGUCCGUGGUUCGAUUCCCGGCGAAGGCU